GUUUGUUUAAGAUUUCUGAACGCCGAGUCGUCUCUUUCUUUCUUUCGAUCACCCUUAACGCCACGCCGUCGUCUGUCGACUGUCGUGCAAGAGAAAAUGGGAUUUCUUGGUAUGGUUGGAUACGCAACCCGUGUUGUUGCAGGAGCAAGCUGUGGAUGGGUCCUUGGAAUCAUUACGCUCAAAUAUCAGUUCUUAGGGAAUGAAGAGAAAAAGUUGAAGCCAAAAGAAGAUGUGGUGAAUAAUUAGCGUAUGGUCUAAGAUUAUUAGGGUUGCUAUUAUAGUAUUAUGUAUGUUUCUUCUGACUAUGCUUUGGUAUUAUGUUAUCCUUUUUGCUAAUAAAAAAAGAAGGUGCAUCAGUUGUAAUGACGAUAAAUGAUAUGAAAUUAGCUGUUUCGACGCAUUAGAUAUCUCAAAGUUGAUCACUUUUUGAUUCGCUCGUUUUGGUACAACAUCUGCAGUUUUGGUAUUGGUUUAAGCUUUUACCUGAUUUUUCAAACAACUUAUGAGUUUUGAUAAAACGCUCUCAUUAAACGAUCCAAGUUCUGCAAGUAAUUGACCAUUCUUCUUUGGAGAAUGAAACGUUAAUGGCUGCUGCUUAAAAGGAUCUGAUCUUCUUUGAGCCCUUCUCUAUAAGCUACGUCUAACUUUUUUUUUUUUUAUUAUAACUGAAGUUACUGAUGGUCUACUAGGUCUGGUUAAAAGAAUCUUCAUUUUUAGUAAUCCUGUCACAAAAAUAUUUCAAAUCAAUAUUACUACAUCAACUCGUAAUUAACAAGACUAACAACAAAUCCAACUGAUACAUACUUUACCAACUUGUUUCUUUGGAAAUUUAUCAUCUCCAUCAACUCUUGUCUUCUUCCACAAAUUCUCAAAUCUGUGAAAAAUAAUAAAAAAAUAUAUGUGUGUGCUUAUUUGCGCAAUACAUUAUUAACAUGUUUGUCUACUUCAAGGACUCUUUCCUCGAGUCAAACCAAUGUAGUUCCCACAAGCAGCCUCACUUCAAAACUCACUACUUUUAACUUUGAAAUUUUUAUUAGGCAGCUGGCCUUUUGUUUCUAAAAAAGGCCUAGAGACCCAGAUAGUUUUUGAGCCCCCUUUAACUGCACGAGAACCGUAGUAGUAUACCAUACCUUAAAUAAUUUUUUUUGUUCUCAUAUCUCAUCGUUUGAGAUAAGAAGAUAUGAAUCCUAUUUUUGUGAGAACAAUUGCCAGAUCCGUGUCUGGAACCAUCGGCAAAGGUGGCAUGAUGACUCCUGGCCCGCAAUUUUGCGGGUUUAUAAAAUGGAGGCCCAGUCCCGCCCCGCAGCAAGUCUUUACGGGUCAGGUCCGCGGUCCAGGUCCUUGAUUGCCAUCCCUAAAACUGAGUGGAUAGAAUGAAGAACAUAGAGAAAAGAGAGAAAAAGAGCUGAUGGAGAACAUAGGGGAACAUAGAGAAAAGCAAAAGAUUAAAAUCUAAAAUUGUAUGUAUUUUUAAUUAGGCUGUUAUUUAAAAUUUAAUCGUGAGAAAAAUUACACCAAUAACGUAAAAAGGUCGGAAGGGAUAGGCCCGAAUAUGUGUCCGGGCCCGUGUGGGGGUGGUGGUUAAAAUUAAGGGUUCUAUCUCCGUCUUUAACGUCGUGCCGCGUGAGUCUAUCUUCCUCAGAAUUCAUCUACAUCUCGUGCAAUGGAAUCCAUCAUGAAUCAAGUGAGCUCCAAGAUCCGCACGUUUUCUACAUCUAAGGUGGUGACUUCCAAGCCCGUGUUCUGGCCUUCAAUGGCUGGUGCCUAUGCCAUUUAUGGCUAUUGGGUGUAUUUCCAGAUGGAAAGGCGUGCGUUAGAGGAAAAAAAAACUUGAUGUGUUGUCUCUUGUUCUAGGUCUUGUUCUAAAGGAAGCUUAAUGUGUUGUCUCUUGUUCUAGGUCGUGUCCUAAAAGAAGCUUGAUGUGUUGUCUCUUUUUCUAGUUCUUGUUCUCUCUUUGUUCUCUCUAUUGUGUUUCACUUCUGUGGUUAAAAGAGUGACCUUUAAUUUUUGGAUACUUUUGGAUGUAUUAUCUAGGUCGCAACUUUAAUCGAUCUUUAAUAUUAUUUGGAUACUUUUGGAUGUGUUA